UGAAUGAACAAAGGGGGAAGGCUUAAUCAAGAUCAGCUGGAUGCCGUUUCUAAGUACCAGGAAGUCACAAAUAAUUUGGAAUUUAUAAAAGACUUACAGAGGAGUUUCAUGGCACUAAGUCAAGAUAUUCAGAAAACAAUAAAGAAGACAGCACGUUGGGAGCAGUUUAUGAGAGAAGAAGCUGAACAGAAACGUUUAAAAACUGUGCUUGAGCUACAGUAUGUUUUGGACAAAUUGGGAGAUGAUGAAGUGCGAACUGACCUGAAACAAGGUUUGAAUGGAGUGCCAAUAUUGUCCGAAGAGGAAUUGUCAUUGUUGGAUGAAUUCUGUAAGUUAGAAGACCCUAAACGGGAUGUGAGCUGGAGGUUGAAUGAACAGUAUGAACAUGACUCCAUUCACUUGUGGGACCUGCUGGAAGGGAAGGAACAAUCUGUAUGUGGAACCACCUAUAAAGUUCUAAAGGACAUUGCCAAGUGUGUUUUUCAGUCAAACUACUUUGACAGCACCCACAACCACCAGAAUGGGUUGUGUGAGGAAGAAGAGGCAGCCUCAGCACCUACAGUUGAAGACCAGGCAGCUGAAGCUGAACCUGAGCCAGCGGAAGACUACACUGAGCAAAAUGAAGUUGAAUCAACACAGUAUGUAAAUAGACAGUUCAUGGCGGAAACACAGUUCACCAGUGGUGAAAAGGAGCCAGGUAGAUGAGUAGACAGUUGAAACAAUUGAGGUGGUAAAUUCACUCCAGCAGCAGCCUCAGGCCUCAUCCCCUUCAGUACCAGAGCCCCACUCUUUGACUCCAGUGGCUCAAGCAGAUCCCCUCCUGAGAAGACAGUGAGUACAAGACCUUAUGGCACAAAUGCAGGGUCCCUAUAAUUUCAUACAGGAUUCAGUGCUGGAUUUUGAAAACCAGAUACUUGAUGCUGCCAUUGUAUCUGCACAGCCUGUGAAUCCAGCACAAAACAUGGACAUGCCCCAGCUGGUUUGCCCUCCAGUUCAUUCUGAUUUUAAACUUGCUCAGCCUAAUCAAGUUCCUGUACAACCAGAAGCUACACAGGUUCCUUUGGUGUCAUCCGCAAGUGAGGGGUAUAUAGCAUCACAACCCCUGUAUCAGCCUUCUCCUGCUACAGAGCAACGGCCACAGAAGGAACCAGUUGUUCAGAUUCAGGCAACAAUCUCUUUAAAUACAGACCAGACUACAGCAUCAUGAUCCCUUCCUGCUGCUUCUCAGCCUCAAGUAUUUCAGGUUGGGACAAGCAAACCUUUACCAGUGGAAUCAAUGUAAAUGCAGCUCCAUUCCAAUCCAUGCAAAUAGUGUUCAAUAUGAAUGCCCCAGUUCCUCCUCUUAAUGAACCAGAAACUUUAAAACAGCAAAAUCAGUACCAGGCCAGUUAUAACCAGAGCUUUUCUAGUCAGCCUCACCAAGUAGAACAAACAGCUUCACCAAGAACAGCUUCAAACAGUGGUGGGCACUUACCAUGGUUUUCCGGACCAGUCCCAUCAAGUGACUGGUAACCACCAGCAGCCUCCUCAGCAGAACACUGGAUUUCCACGUAGUAGUCAGCCCUAUACAAUAGCUGUGGUGCGUCUUGUAGAGGUUCCCGUGGUGCUAGAGGCUUGAUGAAUGGAUACCAGGGCCCUGCCAAUGGAUUCAGAGGAGGAUAUAUGAUGGUUACCGCCCUUCAUUCUCUAACACUCCAAACAGUGGUUAUACAGAGUCUCAGUUCAGUGCUCCCUGGGAUUACUCUAGCUAUCAACGGGAUGGCUAUCAGCAGAAUUUCAAGUGAGGCUCUAGGCAGAGUGGACCCUGGGGAGCCCCAUGAGGUAAUAUUUUGUGGUGGUGAUCCUAGCUUCUAAAUGGAGCUUCUGUUCUGGCCUUGGAAGAGCUGUUCAUAGUAUGCAUGUUAGGAAUACAUUUAUCCUUUCCAGACUUGUUGCUAGGGAUUAAAUGAAAUGCUCUGUUCCUAAAACUUAAUCUUGGACCCAAAUUUUAAUUUUUGAAUGACUUUCCCUGUUACUAUAUAAAUUGUCUUGAAAACUAG